ACCACUUGUGAGGCCAUCUGGUCCAUUUGCACUGUCAUCGUUAAGUUCAAAAAUCGCCCUCAGAAGGGUAAAUAUUAAGAGAUGCAUUGUCAGCAUCAGUAAUAAUAUCAGGAACCGAAUUUAUUAAAGAAAGGUCAGCAUCUACUAUGACACCUAUAAAUUGCUCUUUAUAACAAGAGAUUGUAUCUUCAAUCAAUUAAUCUUCUCCCUCAGUCUAGCUGCCAUCUUUUUUAAUCAUUCUUGUAAGAGAGUCUUCUCCUCCUACCUUCACCAGGCUAUGAAAAAAACAAGUCUUGUUAUCCCCUUUUGUACACCAUUGGACUCCAGCUUUCUACCUCCAAAAUGUUUCCUCAUAGUGCAAGUAUUUCAGAUGUUCAACCUGGGCUCUUUUAAGCACUGCCAUGUUGGUUGAUGUAGGUUGCUCUUCAAAAAGGUUUUCUUUAGGUAUAAAAAUUCCCUACCUGAUAAUGAGCUACUUGAAAAUGUUAACUUAUCUCUGCUACAAGUAGCCAAAGCCAAAUUGGUAUUGUUCAUUUAUACUUCAAACUAACAAAAACAUCAUCAAAACCAGCAGCUACCCAAUUUUUUCUCACUAUAUCUCUGAACUCCUCACGUUUGGUCCAGAAUUUCAGGAACUUAAAAGGCUUGAUGAAGUGCUGAGAUUGUCCACCAGAAGUAAAUAAGAGGGGGGCAUGGUCAGAACCAGUCCUGGCUAAAUGAAGUAAUUCAACUCCUCCAAACAGAUCCAAAAAAAACUUGAUUAGUGACAAUUCUAUCAAAUUUUUUGAAAGAAAUACUUCAUCUACUCUCCCAAUCCUCCAACUGAAAGACCUGCCUUUAAAAAAUAAUAUCAAGUAGGUCACAAGAAUUUAUACAAAAAGCAAAGUCCUCAUAUUCAUUCGGAUAAACAGGUAGGCCUUCAAUCUUCUCUUCUGCCCCCAAGAUCACAUUGAAAUCACCUCCAACAAACCAAGACAAAUUCAAAUUUUGACGUACUGAAUAAAUAUCCUCCCAUUGAGUUAAUCUCUCAAGAACAUCACACUUAGCAUAUACUAAAGCAGUGACAAAAACCUUUCCAUCCUAAAGAGUUAAUUGUUGAUCAGAAUCAGAAAUAACCCCUAAAAUAUGCUUUUGAACAAAGACCCAAAUUUUUCCAUUUAAACUAUAACUAACAUGCUACAUACCCAGCCUCCUCUUGUCUCUUUAAAUUUGUCAAAGGGGCAGUCCGAUGCACUAAAGCUCUUUGUGCGUAAGGGCAUGUUAAAACAGCUCCUAUGUCAUUCAGGUUCACACAUGGCUGCCAUUGCAGCAGUUACCAAGCUCGAGUGAAAGAAGGGAGAAAAAAGGGAAAAGAGAAAUGUUGAGCUAAGAUAAAAUUUGUGUAUCAAGUGUUAGUUACAAUGUGAUCUGAUUACAUCUAUUUAUAAGCUCACAUGCUCAUCACAUGAGCAUCUAGAAGCUUCCUAACAGCUCACUAACAACUUCCUAACUAACUCAACUUACUCGAUCAGCAGCUAACAAUAUCAAAAAAUAAAACCAAUGGAACAGUAACUACUGUGCUAACCAACUAACUGCUAUGGUUGUACAAAUGUGAUAGUAUCCACAAUAAGUUUCUACAGGCCCCAUCAUAAGGGUGUAUUAUACGCAGCAUAAGGGUCUCUCUGAAUUUGUCCAGCUUCUUGAAAUGGUUCCAUCAAAGCAAUAAGAAUAAAUUUGUGAUGGUUGUGAACCAUUUGAACUCUAUGAAAAGCAUUUUUAGCUCUCACAAACCUAAUAUUCCACACCAGCGAUUACACUCACUAGAUCUGUGGAGAGGAUGAAAGAAAAGAGAGAGAUUUCUUGAGGAGAGAGAAUAAAGAGAGAGAAAUUUGUUUUCAUGGUAACACCCGUGGAUAAACUCCACUGCGGACGGACUAUUUAUAUUAAUGAUUCGAAGUAUGUACAAUUACACAGAGAAAAUGAGAAUAAAAGGUACAGUACUACAGUGCCUAAAACUUGGGUCGGGGCUCCGCCCCCCACACCCCCCGGCAACCUCACCGCGGAGGUUGAACCGCGUGAACAUUAAUAUAUAAUCAGUACAUUACAUAUUAAUCAGGCUCCACACCUAACACCACCCCUAUUGGAACUCAUCCUUGUUGGCUUACCGCUUGUGCCAAUUUUAUUCUUCUGCUUCGUUCACUUUGAUGCCAGUUGUGGAUAUAGCCCUGCUUCCCUUUGAACAUGGAAUAAAUUUACAUACUGUCAGCUUCAUAUCUAUCUUCAAUCAUAUUGUCAUUUUCCUUAAUAUUGUUACUGCUUUCUAUGUUGGUGUGUAUCUGAUGAGACACCACCUCAUGUAGGACUUGCAUUGGAGAAACUUGUUUAUAUCGCAUCGUUUUUUGGGAACCAGCUACAUCUUUACUAAUACCAUCUGUUGCUUCAGUUUGUUGAGUUGAAUCAUUAUUUAACACAAAUACCUGUAAAGGUUCAUGAUAUGGAGCUUCUGACAACUCCUAGUCUUCAAUGUCAUGCUGAUCAUUGUAAGUCUUUCCCAUAAGUCACUACAUUGUGCUGUCAUCCGUUUCACUAAAAUCAUCCUUUUUUCGUUCUUUAACUACUUCAUUGUGUUGCCCCUACAUGGAAAUAUUUUUGCCUGUCAUCACUGAACUCUACAGCAACUGCUGCUGUUGUGACUGUUGCAUCUGUUACUACUGAGAUAAACACUUUUCUGCUAGUGUUGUUGACUCUGCUGAGAUUCCUAUAUAAUGUUGCUCCUACAAAGCAUUAUUCUUUCCUGGUAAUUCUUUCCUGGUAUCACUGGACUAAACAGUUCUUCUCUCUGCACCAACUACUGUUGUUGUGCCUGCUGCUGUGGCUGUUGUACCUACAGUUGUUGUGCAAAACAAGCUUCUGCAGGGACUGUUGAAUAUGCUGAGACUGCUAUAACUGUUGUGUUUCCUUUCAUUUGUUGUUCAUAGUCAUUGCUGUUGUGCCCAUUGUCUUUAUUUGCAUGUGAACUCUUAUCUGUGCAUCAUUAUUGUCAUCAGUGGUCCUUACCACAUCAUUCUUCAUUGUUGCAUCAUUAUUGUCGUACUUGCAUUCAUUUAGUACAUCAAAUGUAUUUGCAGUGGUGAUAUGCAUAUUUGCCUUGGUGAUAGAUCAGUGUUGUCCAUCCUUAGUUUUUUGCCACUUGACUCUCCUAUUAGUAGGAGUCCAUCUAUUAACAGAUCUUCCUUUUGAUCCAUUCCUCCUCCCUUGUUGUUCAUAAACUUUGUCUAUAUCAGUUGUCAAUUCAAGUUCACCUUGUACAGUCUUCUUUAACUCGGGAUGCAAACUUCUACAUUCAUCUUCAUUGUGUGUUUGCAGUUUCAAGCCAAGCAGUAUUUAGGCAAGAAAUUAUACUGCAUCUUGAUACUCUCCACUCUAGCUUCAUUUGUCUUGUUAUUAAUCACCUCAAUCUCUACCACUUCAGGGAGGGUAGCUACUAAAUCAACCUGGAAUUUCACUGUAGCACUGCUAGUACGAGUUUUAUUUAUGGUAGCCAUAUCAUGAUGCAGAGGCUUUCCAACGGCUGUUGCAAUUGAAAAAAUUCUCUCUUACAAAGAAAGUGGGGAGUGGGGAGCAGAUUUGGAAACGAAAUCCAGGUCCUGGCUUGUGUUGUUUCCUCCGAUUUUAAUUUUGCAUCAUACAUUAAAGGUCUCAUAGCAGAAUUCCAAAUUUUGAUCCCUCAGUUCAUCUACUCUGGCUCCCCAUAGCAGAAUUUUCCAAUUACUGCAUAUUCCAAAGCCUCCAUAAUAUUCAUCUUGCAAACUUCUUCGGUCCAUGUCACACGAUGUACUUCACUAACAAUCAAAGGUUUCUUAGUAGGAAUUGAAUCUCCAAUUUCCUCAUGUGAAGGAGAGGUUAAAUAGGCUCACAAGGCAAACAACUAGGGUUCAUUUGGGAGUUGGGCUGAAAUAGGUUGGGAAAGUUUUCUUCAAUAGUGAGGGAGAAGGUCUGGUCAGCCACCACCGGUGACUGACCAGUGGUUGUCAUGGCCAUGUCAGACGAAGGCUAGCGUUUAGGUGAAGAGGGAAGAUGACGUACUCAUCACCACCUCUCUGUCAUUUGUCGCGUACGUAUCAUAUGCUAAAAUGCUUAUAACUAUUCUUCUGGAUUUUGUUAAAAUCGUGCUACUUUCUUUUGUGUG